rnacentral:lncRNA from 1 species
UGGAGUUGUGUGGGGUUGAAUAACUAUGUUUGUAAUAUUUCAGAAGUUGGCAGAAAAAGAAAAGAAAAAUAGAAAAAAAAAUAGAAAAGAAAAAAAUGAAUGAAAAAAAUAGAAGGAUGUCAAUCAAUACAUACUCCUUCUGAAAAAGAAAAAAAAGGAAUAAAAAGAAAAAGGAGAAGAGAAAUCACUUGUUAUAGAGUUGUUGAAGUGAA